rnacentral:rRNA from 1 species
UAGGGAAUCUUGGACAAUGGGCGAAAGCCUGAUCCAGCCAUGCCGCGUGAGUGAUGAAGGCCUUAGGGUUGUAAAGCUCUUUCGCCAGGGAAGAUAAUGACGGUACCUGGAUAAGAAGCCCCGGCAAACUUCGUGCCAGCAGCCGCGGUAAUACGAAGGGGGCUAGCGUUGUUCGGAAUUACUGGGCGUAAAGCGCACGUAGGCGGUUUUCCAAGUUGGAGGUGAAAUCCCUGGGCUCAACCCGGGAACUGCCUCCAAAACUGGAUGACUCGAGUCCGAGAGAGGUUAGUGGAAUUUCUAGUGUAGAGGUGAAAUUCGUAGAUAUUGGAAAGAACACCAGUGGCGAAGGCGGCUCACUGGCUCGGUACUGACGCUGAGGUGCGACAGCGUGGGGAGCAAACA